AGCAGCCGCGGUAAUUCCAGCUCCAAUAGCGUAUAUUAAAGUUGUUGCAGUUAAAAAGCUCGUAGUUGAAUUUCGGGAUCAAUAUGUCGGUCGUGCCUUCGGUACGCACUGGUAUCAUUGGUCUCUCCUUUCUGACGAACCAUGAUGUCAUUAAUUUGGUGUUAUGGGGAGUUAGGACUGUUACUUUGAAAAAAUUAGAGUGUUUAAAGCAGGCUUUAGCUUGAAUACAUUAGCAUGGAAUAAUGAAAUAGGACGUUCGAACCUAUUUUGUUGGUUUCUAGGAUCAACGUAAUGAUUAAUAGGGAUAGUUGGGGGCAUUAGUAUUCAAUUGUCAGAGGUGAAAUUCUUGGAUUUAUUGAAGACUAACUACUGCGAAAGCAUUUGCCAAGGAUGUUUUCAUUAAUCAAGAACGAAAGUUAGGGGAUCGAAGACGAUCAGAUACCGUCGUAGUCUUAACCAUAAACUAUGCCGACUAGGGAUCGGAUGAUGUUAAUUUUUUAAUGACUCA
rnacentral:rRNA from 1 species